CCUGUUUUUGAUUGUCAAUGAAGCGGUUUUCGCUUUGAGAGAGUACAAGAUGAUUUUAGAUAUUCAAAGGGAUUGUUUCUGGUCUUCAUCAGAGGCAAUCACAGGUUGGGCUAAUUGAAUCAUGCUAAGGGAAUCCUAUAUGUAUUUUUUCUGUGUGGCAUUCAUCAGUUUGGGUUUAUACUGAAACAACCACAGUUGAAACCUUCCUGGAGUGAACCAUGAUGUUUAUAUUGCACAAUUUUAUACUACUGGGAUCAACUUAAAAAAAAAAAAAAAAAAAAAAAAGAAGUAUAAGCCAGAUCCAAAGCUUCUAUGGGGCUAUGGAGGUUUCGAUGUUUCAUCUACAGACAGUUGGAUUCACUUCUUUCAAAGACGAGAGACUUCUUUGAAAGUGGGGAUUAUGUUCUUCUAGCAAACAUGUAUGCAAGUGCUGGCCAAUGGAACAAAGUGACAAGAGUGAGAGAGGCAAUGAGAAACAGAGGAGUUCAGAAACCAGAGCCAGGUAACAGCCUCAUCGAGCUACAUCCAACAAUUUAGCUUGAAUGAGAAUCAACCAGAAAAUGGAAUGAAGCAGUUGGCACUACAAAAACAUGAGUU